rnacentral:snoRNA from 3 species
CUGUCUGGUGAUGAUCAAACUAAAUACUUCCGUUCUUCUGAUGCGCUAUCUCAUGACGCAGUGCAGAAGCAAUUUGGAGACCUCAACUGAGGGAAU